UUGCCUUUAGCUUAAAGUAUUAAAGGUAACGCCUGCCCAGUGAUAAAUUAAACGGCCGCGGGAUCCUCCACCGUGCAAAGGUAGCAUAAUCACUUGUCCCCUAAAUAGUGACUAGUAUGAAUGGCCAAAUGAAGAUUUUACUGUCUCUUGUAGCCGAUCUAUGAAACUAAUCUAUCAGUACAAAAACUGAUAUUCUUACAUAAGACGAAAAGACCCUGUGGAACUUUAAGCACAACCCAUCUAAUGAUAUUACUGCUUUUAGUUGGGGCAACUUUGGAAAUAAACAAAACUUCCAAUCACCUAACGAGAUAAACAUAUCUAUAUACACCAGACCCAGCAUACGCUGACCAAAGAACCAAGCUACCCCAGGGAUAACAGCGCUAUCCCCUCCUAGAGCCCAAAUCGACGAGCGGGGUUUACGACCUCGAUGUUGGAUCAGGGCCCCCAAACAGUGCAACCGCUGUUAAAGGUUUGUUUGUUCAACAAUUAAAGCCCUUCGUGAUCUGAGUUCA
rnacentral:rRNA from 1 species